rnacentral:rRNA from 1 species
CCUACGGGAGGCAGCAGUGGGGAAUAUUGCACAAUGGGGGAAACCCUGAUGCAGCGACGCCGCGUGAAGGAUGAAGUAUUUCGGUAUGUAAACUUCUAUCAGCAGGGAAGAAGAUGACGGUACCUGACUAAGAAGCCCCGGCUAACUACGUGCCAGCAGCCGCGGUAAUACGUAGGGGGCAAGCGUUAUCCGGAUUUACUGGGUGUAAAGGGAGCGUAGACGGCAUGGCAAGUCUGAUGUGAAAGCCCGGGGCUCAACCCCGGGACUGCAUUGGAAACUGUCUGGCUAGAG